UUUUUUUUUUCCCCCUUCUUCUUUUGCAUUUGGUUUUGCAAAGAGAUUUGGCAAACAGCAGAGCCAUCAAGGGCAGGGCAGCUAUAAGAGUCGGGGACUGUCUGCUUCUCCAGCUGACUUCAUACCUUUGAAGAGUGCAAGUGAAGUUCUCCUCUUCUCCCUGAAGAAAAUGAAUCUUUCAAUAUUCCUGGCCCUCCCUCCUCCUCCUCCUAAUGUUGUUGGUGUGGGCUCCUUGUAUGCUCCUCUGCGCUCUACCAAGGUGCAAAAUUUGACUUGUCCACUUUCUCCUGUCCAUGGGAUGCUCCCUCCAGUCCUAUCUGAAACUGAGUGUUUAAGGGCCAGUUUUCCCAGCAGCAGAGCAUAUGCAGCAAUAAACAUCUUCUCCAGUUGAUUAAGCACCAUAGCUGAGUCGUUCAGCUUCCACAGAAGCUGUUUAUUGCAGCAAUGAGCUCUCCUGAGCAAUUCCAAAGGUGGGAAGGAGGAGGAAACCUGCAGUGCACGCAAGCAUACUUCUUGCUGAAGAAAGGCAAUGAGUAGAGAGCCAAUUGUGUCGUUGAUCCCCAGCUCACACUGGACAGACAUUUGAGUUCAGGAUAUCUUCUAUCAGGUAUUUUUAACAGCAUUCAUUUGACUCUGUAAGGGGUAACAAAGAAAUGCUUUGGUUUCAUCCCCUUGAGUCAGAACUGGUCAGUGAAACGAUGCUGGUUUGACAACCCAAACCCAUUGCAAGCAGUUUAGCAAACUGGACCAUCCAAUGAUUUUCUUGCAAUUUGAAAGGGAAAUUUCUGCUGUGUCAUGCAGCUGAUUGAUUAAAAGAAAAUAUCCAGAAGAAGUAAUACAAAUAUGGGAGGAGGAGGAGGAGGGGAUUGGACUUCUGCUGUGCUGCUGUUUCUGGGUCUGCUAGCCUGGAACUGAUUAGUCAGGUAGCAGCAUGAAAUUCUCUUCUGCAUGAUGUUGAUGUAAAUUUAAAUGCUUUUCAAAGACAUCUUAGUUAGGUUAAAUAAAUAAAUAAAGCAGAACUAGGGAAAAA